AUCGACGCGUUAAAGAGGAAUAGUAGGAUCCUGUCUGCGACAACCAGAGAGUUGACGGCAGGUGCAAGUCAACCCAGGCCGAUCUGAACUCACCUCCCAGCACUCUCCCUGAAGGCGCAUGCCGUGCUGUGUAAGGGCGGGCGACUUGUCCACGAUACGGAUCCAACAAGCGGGUGAGCAGUUUUUCACCAAACUGGGUGGUACCGCGGGAGUAUGCACAACCUCUCGUCCCUUUU
rnacentral:ncRNA from 1 species